GGGGAUUUAGCUCAGUGGUAGGGCGCUUGCUUAGCAAGCACAAAGCCCUGGGUUCAGUCCCCAGUUCCUA
rfam:Rattus norvegicus chromosome 4, whole genome shotgun sequence.